rnacentral:misc_RNA from 1 species
UUUCCGUAGGUGAACCUGCGGAAGGAUCAUUAAAAAAUAGGACUUCCAAUGGGAGUUCAUUAAUAAUCCUACCCUUUGUGAAUUUGUUUGUUUGAAAUAAUUUUUUUUCCAAAAAAAUUAUUGAAUGUCUUUCCCUGUUUUUGGUUGAAGCGUAAAAGUGGAGACCAAGCAGGGGAAUGGCAAACAUUAAUUUUUUUGAAAAAAGACCUUUUUUUAAAAUUAAACUUUUUGUAUUCAUUUGUCUAAAAUUAUUUUUGUAAUAUAAAAACAACUUUUGACAAUGGAUCUCUUGGUUCUCGCAACGAUGAAGAACGCAGCAAAAUGCGAUAAGUAAUGUGAAUUGCAGAAUACGUGAAUCAUCGAAUCUUCGAACGCAUAUUGCACUUUUUUAGUUUACUAAAAGAGUAUGUCUGUUUGAGUAUCAGUAAGAUAUUCUCAUAAAAAACUUUUUUGUUUUUUAUGGUUAUGAGUGUUUUACAACGAUAAACAAGUUGUUUCACUUUAAAUUCUUUGAAAUUUAAAAAAUCGUUAAAACUAAUUUUAAAAUGAUUUUUUAAAAUUGGAUAAAAUUUUCCCGUAAAAAAGGAAUAACCUAAACAAUUUUAAAAAAUUUAAAAUUGGUUGAUUUUUUUAAAUCCCAAAAGGAAAAAAGUAAAAAUUAACUUGAUCUCAAAUCAGAUAAGAGUACCCGCUGAACUUAGCAUAUCAAUAAGCGGAGGAAAAGAAACUAACUAGGAUUCCCUCAGUAACGGCGAGUGAAGCGGGAAGAGCUCAAAUUUGAAAUCCUCAAGGUUCUACCUUGACGAAUUGUAGUUUAAAGAAGUGUUUUCUGUUGGAAUAGUUUGGUAUAAGUUCUUUGGAAUAGGACAUCAUGGAGGGUGAGAAUCCCGUAACGACCAUUUAUUCCAGCUCUGUGAUACACUUUCAAAGAGUCGGAUUGUUUGGGAAUGCAGUCCAAAAUGGGUGGUAAAUUUCAUCUAAAGCUAAUAUUGGCGAGAGACCGAUAGCGAACAAGUACCGUGAGGGAAAGAUGAAAAGAACUUUGAAAGAGAGUUAAACGGUACGUGAAAUUGUCAAAAGGGAAGCGUUUGACACCAGUGUUGUUUUCUCGAAAAUCAAUUAAAAAUGGCUUGAUUUUGUGUAAGGCGACCUUAUCAGCGUUUUGCACUCUUUUCUUGUCCUUUUUUAAUGCACUUUUCGUUUAACAAGUCAACAUCAAUUUCUUUUGUUGUAAAAGAGUCAUUGGAAGGUGGCUUUCUUUUCGGAGAAAGUGUUUAUAGCCUUUGGCUUCUGCAAUCGGAGAGAUUGAGGUCUGCAGCGUAGAUCCUUCGGGGUUAGAUGCAUUAGUGCUAAGUUAUAGCCUUUCAUAGACAACUUGUUGACUAUGAUCAGUCAUGUAGCUUACUCGCUGAUGUUAUUU